rnacentral:rRNA from 1 species
CCUACGGGAGGCAGCAGUGAGGAAUAUUGGUCAAUGGACGAGAGUCUGAACCAGCCAAGUAGCGUGAAGGAUGACUGCCCUAUGGGUUGUAAACUUCUUUUAUAUGGGAAUAAAACGCUCCACGUGUGGGAUUUUGUAUGUACCAUAUGAAUAAGGAUCGGCUAACUCCGUGCCAGCAGCCGCGGUAAUACGGAGGAUCCGAGCGUUAUCCGGAUUUAUUGGGUUUAAAGGGAGCGUAGGUGGAUUGUUAAGUCAGUUGUGAAAGUUUGCGGCUCAACCGUAAAAUUGCAGUUGAAACUGGCAGUCUUGAGUACAGUAGAGGUGGGCGGAAUUCGUGGUGUAGCGGUGAAAUGCUUAGAUAUCACGAAGAACUCCGAUUGCGAAGGCAGUUCACUGGACUGCAACUGACACUGAGGCUCGAAAGUGUGGGUAUCAAACAGGAUUAGAUACCCGAGUAGUC